rnacentral:rRNA from 1 species
CCACUCAUUUAAAGAGUGCGUAAUAGCUCACUGGUCGAGUGACCCUGCGCGGAAAAUUCAACGGGGCUAAAAUCAUAACCGAAGCUUGGGAUAUACUAAUGUAUAUGGUAGGGGAGCGUUGUGUAAGGGGUGAAGUCAUAGCGGAAGCGGUGGUGGACUUUACACAAGUGAGAAUGCCGGAAUGAGUAGCGCGAAUUAUGUGAGAAUCAUAAUGGCCGAAAGUCUAAGGUUUCUGGAGGAAGGUUCGUCCGCUCCAAGUUAGUCGGGAGCUAAGGUCAGGCCGAAAGGCGUAGCCGAUGCACAUACGGUAGACAUUCCGUAACCGUCGAAGUAUUUAAGCAAAGGGACACUUUGGGAAGGUACAAGCCAGGCGUUGGUAGCCCUGGUCGUAAGGGACUGAAGUUUAGUAAGGAAGUGUACUGGAACAGAGGCGAGAAAAGCUUUGUGUAUAUACAAGACGCCCGUACCGCAAACCGACACAGGUAGAUGGGAAGAGAAUUCUAAGGCCAACGGGAGAAGGGUUGUUAAGGAACUCGGCAAGUUGACCCCGUAACUUCGGAAGAAGGGGUGCUCCAGAAAUGGAGCCGCAGAGAAUAGGUCCAGGCGACUGUUUAGCAAAAACACAGCUCUAUGCUAAAUCGAAAGAUGAUGUAUAUGGGGUGACACCUGCCCGGUGCUGGAAGGUUAAGAGGAGAUGUGCAAGCAUUGAAUUGAAGCCCCAGUAAACGGCGGCCGUAACUAUAACGGUCCUAAGGUAGCGAAAUUCCUUGUCAGGUAAGUUCUGACCCGCACGAAUGGUGUAACGAUCUGGACACUGUCUCAACAACCCGCCCGGCGAAAUUGUAGUACCGGUGAAGAUGCCGGUUACCCGCGACAAGACGGAAAGACCCCAUGGAGCUUUACUGUAGCUUAAUAUUGGAUUUUGAUAUUUCAUGUACAGAAUAGGUGGGAGACUGAGAAACAGAAGCGUCAGCUUCUGCGGAGUCGCCUUUGGGAUACCACUCUUGAAGUGUUGAAAUUCUAACCUGCAGCCGUGAAUCCGGCUGGGGGACAUUGUUAGGUGGGCAGUUUGACUGGGGCGGUCGCCUCCAAAAAGGUAUCGGAGGCGCUCAAAGGUUCGCUCAGCAUGGACGGAAACCAUGCCCCUGAGUGUAAACGCAUAAGCGAGCCUAACUGCGAGACUGACAAGUCGAGCAGUAACGAAAGUUGGAGUUAGUGAUCCGGCGGUAUG